UACGUAGGGUGCAAGCGUUGUCCGGAAUUAUUGGGCGUAAAGAGCUCGUAGGCGGUUUGUCGCGUCUGCUGUGAAAACUCGGGGCUUAACCCCGGGCCUGCAGUGGGUACGGGCAGACUAGAGUGCGGUAGGGGAGACUGGAAUUCCUGGUGUAGCGGUGAAAUGCGCAGAUAUCAGGAGGAACACCGGUGGCGAAGGCGGGUCUCUGGACCGUAACUGACGCUGAGACACGAAAGCGUGGGUAGCAAACAGG
rnacentral:rRNA from 1 species